rnacentral:ncRNA from 1 species
GGCCGGAUAAGGCGUUCACGCCGCAUCCGGCGGCUCUACCAUAAUGCCUGAUGCGACGCCUGCCGCGUCUUAUCAGGCC